AAAUUGAAGAGUUUGAUCAUGGCUCAGAUUGAACGCUGGCGGCAGGCCUAACACAUGCAAGUCGAGCGGUAGCACAGAGAGCUUGCUCUCGGGUGACGAGCGGCGGACGGGUGAGUAAUGUCUGGGAAACUGCCUGAUGGAGGGGGAUAACUACUGGAAACGGUAGCUAAUACCGCAUAACGUCGCAAGACCAAAGAGGGGGACCUUCGGGCCUCUUGCCAUCAGAUGUGCCCAGAUGGGAUUAGCUAGUAGGUGGGGUAACGGCUCACCUAGGCGACGAUCCCUAGCUGGUCUGAGAGGAUGACCAGCCACACUGGAACUGAGACACGGUCCAGACUCCUACGGGAGGCAGCAGUGGGGAAUAUUGCACAAUGGGCGCAAGCCUGAUGCAGCCAUGCCGCGUGUAUGAAGAAGGCCUUCGGGUUGUAAAGUACUUUCAGCGGGGAGGAAGGUGUUGAGGUUAAUAACCUCAGCAAUUGACGUUACCCGCAGAAGAAGCACCGGCUAACUCCGUGCCAGCAGCCGCGGUAAUACGGAGGGUGCAAGCGUUAAUCGGAAUUACUGGGCGUAAAGCGCACGCAGGCGGUCUGUCAAGUCGGAUGUGAAAUCCCCGGGCUCAACCUGGGAACUGCAUUCGAAACUGGCAGGCUAGAGUCUUGUAGAGGGGGGUAGAAUUCCAGGUGUAGCGGUGAAAUGCGUAGAGAUCUGGAGGAAUACCGGUGGCGAAGGCGGCCCCCUGGACAAAGACUGACGCUCAGGUGCGAAAGCGUGGGGAGCAAACAGGAUUAGAUACCCUGGUAGUCCACGCCGUAAACGAUGUCGACUUGGAGGUUGUGCCCUUGAGGCGUGGCUUCCGGAGCUAACGCGUUAAGUCGACCGCCUGGGGAGUACGGCCGCAAGGUUAAAACUCAAAUGAAUUGACGGGGGCCCGCACAAGCGGUGGAGCAUGUGGUUUAAUUCGAUGCAACGCGAAGAACCUUACCUACUCUUGACAUCCAGAGAACUUAGCAGAGAUGCUUUGGUGCCUUCGGGAACUCUGAGACAGGUGCUGCAUGGCUGUCGUCAGCUCGUGUUGUGAAAUGUUGGGUUAAGUCCCGCAACGAGCGCAACCCUUAUCCUUUGUUGCCAGCGGUUCGGCCGGGAACUCAAAGGAGACUGCCAGUGAUAAACUGGAGGAAGGUGGGGAUGACGUCAAGUCAUCAUGGCCCUUACGAGUAGGGCUACACACGUGCUACAAUGGCGCAUACAAAGAGAAGCGACCUCGCGAGAGCAAGCGGACCUCAUAAAGUGCGUCGUAGUCCGGAUUGGAGUCUGCAACUCGACUCCAUGAAGUCGGAAUCGCUAGUAAUCGUAGAUCAGAAUGCUACGGUGAAUACGUUCCCGGGCCUUGUACACACCGCCCGUCACACCAUGGGAGUGGGUUGCAAAAGAAGUAGGUAGCUUAACCUUCGGGAGGGCGCUUACCACUUUGUGAUUCAUGACUGGGGUGAAGUCGUAACAAGGUAACCGUAGGGGAACCUGCGGUUGGAUCACCUCCUUACCUUAAAGAA
rnacentral:rRNA from 1 species